rnacentral:rRNA from 1 species
CAUGAACGCUGGCGGCGUGGAUAAGACAUGCAAGUCGAACGGGGGAGUUGAUGUAGCAAUACAUUGGCUUUCCAGUGGCGAACGGGUGAGUAUCACGUGAGCAACGUGCCCGGAAGAGCGGAAUAGCCCAGGGAAACUUGGAUUAAUGCCGCGUGUGACCAGUCAGGGCAACCUGGCUUGGUUAAAGGUGGGGAUCGCAAGACCUGCCGCUUCCGGAUCGGCUCGCGGCCUAUCAGCUUGUUGGCGGGGUAAAGGCCCACCAAGGCUACGACGGGUACCUGGUCUAAGAGGACGAUCAGGCACACUGGGACUGAGACACGGCCCAGACACCUACGGGUGGCAGCAGUCGAGGAUCAUGCACAAUGGGGGAAACCCUGAUGCUGCGACGCCGCGUGGAGGAUGAAGGUCUUCGGAUUGUAAACUCCUGUCAUCAAUGAGUAUGCUUCGUACGGUGAACAGCCGUGCGGGGUGAUAGUAAUUGAAGAGGAAGGGACGGCUAACUUCGUGCCAGCAGCCGCGGUAAUAC